CGUUCCCGGGUCUUGUACACACCGCCCGUCACACCACGAAAGUCGGUAAUACCCGAAGCCGUUGGCCUAACCGCAAGGAGGGAGACGUCGAAGGUAGGAUCGAUGAUUGGGGUG
rnacentral:rRNA from 1 species